rnacentral:rRNA from 1 species
GAGUUUGAUCAUGGCUCAGAUUGAACGCUGGCGGCAUGCCUUACACAUGCAAGUCGAACGGCAGCACGGGAGCUUGCUCCUGGUGGCGAGUGGCGAACGGGUGAGUGAUGCAUCGGAACGUAUCCUGGAGUGGGGGAUAACGUAGCGAAAGUUACGCUAAUACCGCAUAUUCUGUGAGCAGGAAAGCGGGGGACCUUCGGGCCUCGCGCUCUUGGAGCGGCCGAUGUCGGAUUAGCUAGUUGGUGAGGUAAAGGCUCACCAAGGCGACGAUCCGUAGCAGGUCUGAGAGGAUGAUCUGCCACACUGGAACUGAGACACGGUCCAGACUCCUACGGGAGGCAGCAGUGGGGAAUUUUGGACAAUGGGGGCAACCCUGAUCCAGCCAUGCCGCGUGAGUGAAGAAGGCCUCGGUUGUAA